GACGAACGCUGGCGGCGUGCUUAACACAUGCAAGUCGAACGGAAAGGCCCUGCUUUUGUGGGGUGCUCGAGUGGCGAACGGGUGAGUAACACGUGAGUAACCUGCCCUUGACUUUGGGAUAACUUCAGGAAACUGGGGCUAAUACCGGAUAGGAGCUCCUGCUGCAUGGUGGGGGUUGGAAAGUUUCGGCGGUUGGGGAUGGACUCGCGGCUUAUCAGCUUGUUGGUGGGGUAGUGGCUUACCAAGGCUUUGACGGGUAGCCGGCCUGAGAGGGUGACCGGCCACAUUGGGACUGAGAUACGGCCCAGACUCCUACGGGAGGCAGAAGUGGGGAAUAUUGCACAAUGGGCGGAAGCCUGAUGCAGCAACGCCGCGGGCGGGAUGACGGCCUUCGGGUUGUAAACCGCUUUCGCCUGUGACGAAGCGUGAGUGACGGUAAUGGGUAAAGAAGCACCGGCUAACUACGU
rnacentral:rRNA from 1 species